rnacentral:rRNA from 1 species
UCUAGUAUAGCAUUAUACCGUGAAACUGCGAAUGGCUCAUUAAAUCAGUUAUCGUUUAUUUGAUAGUACCUUACUACUUGGAUAACCGUGGUAAUUCUAGAGCUAAUACAUGCUAAAAACCCCAACUUCGGGAGGGGUGUAUUUAUUAGAUAAAAAACCAAUGCCCUUCGGGGCUCCUUGGUGAUUCACAAUAACUUCUCAGAUCGCAUGGCUUUACGCCGGCGACGGUUCAUUCAAAUUUCUGCCCUAUCAACUUUCGAUGGUAAGGUAGUGGCUUACCAUGGUUUCAACGGGUAACGGGGAAUUAGGGUUCGAUUCCGGAGAGGGGGCCGGAGGAACGGCCACCACAUCCAAGGAAGGCAGCAGGCGCGCAAAUUACACAAUUCCGAUACGGAGAUGUAGUGACAAUAAAUACUGAUACAGGGCUCUUUUGGGUCUUGUAAUUGGAAUGAGUACAAUUUAAAUCUCUUAACGAGGAACAAUUGGAGGGCAAGUCUGGUGCCAGCAGCCGCGGUAAUUCCAGCUCCAAUAGCGUAUAUUAAAGUUGUUGCAGUUAAAAAGCUCGUAGUUGAACCUUUGGCCUGGCUGGCAGGUCCGCCUCACCGCGUGCACUUGUCCGGCCGGGCCUUUUCUUCUGGAGAACCGCAUGCCCUUCACUGGGUGUGUUGGGGACCAGGACUUUUACUUUGAAAAAAUUAGAGUGUUCAAAGCAGGCCUUUGCUCGAAUACGUUAGCAUGGAAUAAUAGAAUAGGACGUGCGGUCCUAUUUUGUUGGUUUCUAGGACCGCCGUAAUGAUUAAUAGGGACAGUCGGGGGCAUCAGUAUUCAAUUGUCAGAGGUGAAAUUCUUGGAUUUAUUGAAGACUAACUACUGCGAAAGCAUUUGCCAAGGAUGUUUUCAUUAAUCAGUGAACGAAAGUUAGGGGAUCGAAGACGAUCAGAUACCGUCGUAGUCUUAACCAUAAACUAUGCCGACUAGGGAUCGGGCGGUGUUUCUAUGUGACCCGCUCGGCACCUUACGAGAAAUCAAAGUGUUUGGGUUCUGGGGGGAGUAUGGUCGCAAGGCUGAAA